UACGGGGGGAGCAAGCGUUGUUCGGAUUUACUGGGCGUAAAGGGCGCGUAGGCGGCCAGCACAAGUCAGUUGUGAAAUCUCCGAGCUUAACUCGGAAAGGUCAACUGAUACUGUGCGGCUAGAGUGCGGAAGGGGCAACUGGAAUUCUUGGUGUAGCGGUGAAAUGCGCAGAUAUCAGGAGGAACACCAAUGGCGAAGGCAGCUCGCUGGGACGGUACUGACGCUGAGACGCGAAAGCGUGGGGAGCAAACAGG
rnacentral:rRNA from 1 species